GAGUUUGAUCAUGGCUCAGAGUGAACGCUGGCGGCGUGCUUAACACAUGCAAGUCGAACGAUGAAGCUCUAGCUUGCUAGAGUGGAUUAGUGGCGCACGGGUGAGUAAUGUAUAGCUAAUGUGCCCCUUAGAGGGGGAUAACAGUUGGAAACGACUGCUAAUACCCCAUACUCCUUCUUCCUAUAAGGGAAGUUGGGAAAGUUUUUUCGCUAAGGGAUCGGGCUAUAUGGUAUCAGCUUGUUGGUGAGGUAAUGGCUCACCAAGGCUAUGACGCCUAUCUGGUCUGAGAGGAUGAUCAGACACACUGGAACUGAGACACGGUCCAGACUCCUACGGGAGGCAGCAGUGGGGAAUAUUACACAAUGGAGGAAACUCUGAUGUAGCAACGCCGCGUGGAGGAUGACACAUUUCGGUGCGUAAACUCCUUUUAUAUGGGAAGAUAAUGACGG
rnacentral:rRNA from 1 species